GGCCUCAGAAAAAUCCUGGAACCAAUUGCAGCAAUGAAAUGGAAGCAGAAAGCUGCUAGGAAUCCCUUUCCAUCUUUUGUCUUGUCAGGCUUCUCUGUUUUGUUCACCUUCCUCCAUCUCCCUGUGGACUGCUGAAUACUGGCUACAUGAUAUUCCAGAGCCAGCCACAGCUUCCCAGAGUGAUCACCCAGAGAGGAUCACUGCCAGCGGUGGGACUCUGCUGCCUUUCCAACUCUUACCUCCUGAAGCCACCACCACUGCUGCUCCUCAGCUGUACCAGCUGA
rnacentral:lncRNA from 1 species